rnacentral:sRNA from 1 species
GCCAGGCGUGGUGGAGCACUCCUUUAAUCCCAGCAGCUUAGGAGGCUGGAGCAGGAGGAUCAGGAGUUCAAAGACAGCCUCAGCAAUUUAGUGAGGCUCUAAGCAACUCAGUGAGAACCCGUUUCUA